ensembl:lncRNA
UAAUCAUUGACUGCAGAGCCGACAUGACGUCCCUUUGGAUGAGGACGUGUCCAAAUGGGUGAAAACCAGUAGAAGUCAGUCCUCAUACUGGAGUGUUUGUGAGGGUCAGCUUGAAAGAGAAGACGUACAGGAUUCUGGUGUGUUGCAGGCCGGCUACUAAGGAACCACACCCGUCGGGAACCAUGAACCGCCAUUGUUGGACGCACGAGCGUCUUCCUCUGAUGUAGAUCAGGCCAGUCCGCGACCAAUCAGGGAAAGGACAACCGUUUCUUUCCCCGCCCACUCACCAAACCAGACAAGGCGCUAGUGUUGCAUAGCCAUUAAAGAGAUCUGAUAAACAGGACUUUACAGCAUUUGUUUACACAUUUUCCCUCCAUUUCCACUAAAAACAAAGGUGAUGAAAUACAUUCAAGCCGUUGGCAGACCUCUAUUCUACAUGUGGAUCUACUCUGUACCCCGUCUACAGCAUACAGUAGAGUGUCACGUUUACAGUACUGUACCCUGUGUACAGUAAUCACGUUUACAGUACUGUACCCUGUGUACAGCAGACAGUAGAGUCACGUUUACAGUACUGUACCGUUUACAGUAUGCUGGUUUAUUUGUAAAGAACUCCCUUCCAGUUCAUAGUACAUAUCAAGUUUUGGCAGAUCAGUUCAUGUAGUCAUAAGAAGUAGUACUAGGUAGUUAGCAGUACACCUGCAGGCUAACUAGGUCUAUAUCAAUCCGGUCUGUGGCAUGAGUUCAUCUCACACAGCGACCAUUUCGGCAACCCUCACUAUUAUACAGAUCUGCUUCCUUUCAAGUCUUUGUGAUUGUGUGAAGAAUGAUGAGCAGACAUUGAACUAGUACUACAUUAGUACUAAAUAAUUCUUACUACAUGUUAUUAAGAGUACUACAUGUAAUGUAGUACAUGUAAUGUAGUACUACAUGUAUCUAAUGGUACAACAUGUAAUUAGUACUACAUGUUAUUAAGUACUAUAUGUAAUUAGUACUACAUGUUUUAAGUACUCGAUGUUAUUAAUACUACAUGUAAUUAGUACUACAUGUUAUGAAUACUACAUUAGUAGUUCAUGUCAACAAUACUACAUGUAAUAAGUACUACAUGUUUUGACUACUACAUGUAAGUGUUGUUACUUCUAGAUGUUAUCACUACAGAUACCGUAGGGGAUGG